UCCAGUUGGACAGAGCUACAGUUGGAUCAGAUUUGAUGGCCCUUUUGAAGGACAAAAAGCCUCCACUUCCGUAUGUUUAUCACCCACCCCAGCGUCCAUCGAUUAUGUGAUUUGGUCAGCUUCCUCUACGGGCUUUCGUUCAGAGCAAAUUCAAGAUGAAGAGAACUCCUGUGAAACCGGGAUUCAUGUACAUUGAUGAACUCCUGUGAAACCUGGGUUUAUCAUGAUAGCAUGAAAACUUAGGGAGGAUUGAACUAUGCAGUGUCGUUUGAGUGGGGUUUCAUUUUAUCUUGUAUAAAAAAAGAAAUGCCUUCUGGAGC
rnacentral:pre_miRNA from 1 species